AGUGAACGCUGGCGGUAGGCCUGACACAUGCAAGUCGAACGGCAGCACAGUAAGAGCUUGCUCUUACGGGUGGCGAGUGUCGGACGGGUGAGUAAUACAUCGUAAUCUACUUUUUCGUGGGGGAUAACGUAGGUAAACUUACGCUAUUACCGCAUACGACCUACGGUUGAAAGCAGGGGAUCUUCGCACCUUGCGCGAUUGAAUGAGCCGAUGUCGGAUUAGCUAGUUGGCGGGGUAAAGGCCCACCAAGGCGACGAUCCGUAGCUGGUCUGAGAGGAUGAUCAGCCACACUGGAACUGAGAAACGGUACAGACGCCUACGGGAGGCAGCAGUGGGGAAUAUUGGACAAUGGGCGGAAGCCUGAUCCAGACAUAACGAGUGGGUGAAGAAGGCCUAAGGGUUGUAAAGACCUUUUGUUGGGAAAGAAAAGCAGCAGGUGAAUACCCCGAUGUACUGACGGUACCAAAAGAAUAAGCAACGGCUAACUUCGUG
rnacentral:rRNA from 1 species